rnacentral:rRNA from 1 species
AGAGCGAACGCUGGCGGCAGGCCUAACACAUGCAAGUCGAGCGCGUGUAGCAAUACACGAGCGGCAGACGGGAGAGUAACACGUGGGAACGCGCCCUUCGGUUCGGAAUAACUCAGGGAAACUUGAGCUAAUACCGGAUACGCCCUUACGGGGAAAGAUUUAUUGCCGAAGGAACGGCCCGCGUCCGAUUAGCUAGUUGGUGAGGUAACGGCUCACCAAGGCGACGAUCGGUAGCUGGUCUGAGAGGAUGACCAGCCUCACUGGGACUGAGACACGGCCCAGACUCCUACGGGAGGCAGCAGUGGGGAAUAUUGACAAUGGGCGCAAGCCUGAUCCAGCCAUGCCGCGUGGAUGAUGAAGGCCUUAGGGUUGUAAAGUCCUUUUAACGGGGAAGAUAAUGACGGUACCCGUAGAAUAAGCCCCGGCUAACUUCGUGCCAGCAGCCGC